rnacentral:rRNA from 1 species
UACGGAGGGUGCGAGCGUUAAUCGGAAUUACUGGGCGUAAAGCGUGCGUAGGUGGUUAAUUAAGUUAUCUGUGAAAUCCCUGGGCUUAACCUGGGGACGCCACCCGAUACUGCCGUGGCUAGAGUCCGGUAGGGGAGCGUGGAAUUCCUGGUGUAGCGGUGAAAUGCGCAGAUAUCAGGAGGAACACCAGCGGCGAAGGCGGCGCUCUGGGCCGGAACUGACGCUGAGGAGCGAAAGCGUGGGUAGCAAACAGG